rnacentral:tRNA from 1 species
GGGGAUUUAGCUCAGCAGUAGAGCGCUUGCCUAGCGAGCACAAGGCCCUGGGUUCGGUUCCCAGCUCCG